UACGGGGGGGGCAAGCGUUGUUCGGAAGUACUGGGCGUAAAGGGCUCGUAGGCGGCCAACUAAGUCAGACGUGAAAUCCCUCGGCUUAACCGGGGAACUGCAUCUGAUACUGGAUGGCUUGAGAUUGGGAGAGGGAUGCGGAAUUCCAGGUGUAGCGGUGAAAUGCGUAGAUAUCUGGAGGAACACCGGUGGCGAAGGCGGCAUCCUGGACCAACACUGACGCUGAGGAGCGAAAGCCAGGGGAGCAAACGGG
rnacentral:rRNA from 1 species